AGAGAAAGAAGCUAUAAAGCAAUUAACUGUUACUUAAUUAUUAAUGGUAUACUCUCCACCAUCUUCUCUA
rnacentral:tRNA from 1 species